GUGCCCCAUCCCUGGAGACAUCCCAGGCCAGGCUGGACAGGGCUCUGAGCAACGUUAUCUGGGUUAAGAUGUCCCUGCUCAUGGCAGGGGGUUGGACUGGAUGAGCUUUGAAGGUCCCUUCCAACCCAAACUAUUCUAUGAUUCUAUUAUUCAAUGCCCUUUUUAAAAAAUCUUAAAAUCCUUAUUGCAGGGUGCUGACCACAAGCAUGGGAAGAUAGGGCAUGUCUGAUCACACCUCUAAUGUGGGCAGUGCUAAUCAAUGCCAUGGCUAAUUGUCUUCCCAGCCUUCUUGAACCAGGGUCUGUGAUGACAGAGGAGACACAGAGAUGAUAGAAACGAUGGGAACGCACCACCACUGCCUUGAGCCAUCAGGAUUGCCUUGAGCCAUCAGGAUUGGUGGGCACAGUUAAUAGGACAGCAUGUCAUGUGAUCCAAGCGCUGAAAAUACAACUACAGUGGAGCAGAUGACAGCAAGCAUAAAUCAACUGAAGGCAACUAAUUAACGCCAGUGAGGGAUGUGGUCCAGUAUUUCAGCUGUUGUAAGGUUCUGGGGUUGUUCUAGUUGAGGGGAUUGAGACUUGGUGAUGAGUCAACACUCUUUUAAAGGUUUCUUUGCUUUCCUUAGGAUGUCUGCUGGGAUGGGCUGGGCUGACAGAUUCACUGAAGAGUAAAUGGCUGUGUAAGGGUAUGGCGGGAAAAUAAUCUUUCCCUGAAGAGAUGGACUCUGAAAAAGACUUUGUAAAGCCUGUGUGUUAAGGGUAUGAGGCUGCUACGCGAUUGCUUUUUCUGUCUGACUCCCACUCCCUCCUGUCUUUUCCCAAGGAAGUCUGUACAAACUGGCCUGUUUCAGACAAAACUCUCAUUUAUUUUUAAUUUUAAUUACUGUUUAAACUUUGGAUAGCUGCAUGUUUCAGAAAAUAUAGAGCAUCCUUUUAGGAAAUGCAUCUGUGGAGGACAGGUCGGUUUACAGGUUUAGUUUUGUUGUGUUUUUUUUUUAGUGAGAUAUGGAAGAGCAGUGUCCAGAGGAUGAAACAUG